GUACAGGGUCCUCACUCGGCAUGCCAAAAAGAUUCAAUCAAUCUGAUACCUGUGAUCAAUGUUAAGCAUGGGUAUGACUUCUCCAUGAUUGAUGAAACAAGCCUCACCUGAAAUAGUGGAGGACAAAAGGCCAAAGCUAGCUUUGGAGGAAUAGAAGGUGAUGUGAAGAAGAAGGCCUCAAACAUGGCAAAGCCACCUAAAAAUGCUCUUUCCAUUAGGGUUUUACCAUCCUCAUACUUGUAGCUUGUGCUGCACUUUCUCUUGCCAUUAAUGAACAUGGGCUGAAAGAAGGGUUACGGUGUGGAAUCUUCCUUGUGGCUGUCUUUCUGGUCAGUGAUGUCCCUGCUGUUAUGUUACUCAAGGAAAAUAGGCAAUUCCUCCAGUUAUGAUCUGAUCAGGCCGACGACGAUAUCCAAUUUGAUUUUGUCUGAAACGGGUAGGCUGAUACUAGGCAGGAUCUGUCCUUGUUUUUGAGAUGGCCAAUUGAUAUUCAUGUCAGAUGCUUGUGGGGAAGACAUCCAUGAGCAAUCUGCCGUGAAUAUAUAAAGAACAGAUACAUACACAAGUCUGGCUCAACAACCUAACUUCAUCCUUGAUAAUGCUGGUCUGAGUUGCUUUUGUGGUUCUUGUAGUGUCGUUGGUUUGCCGUUUGAAUUGUGGAAUUCAGAAGAUGAGAAUGGGAAUCAGGAGUUCAAUAGCAGCAAGACAAAGGCUGAUGAUAUAGUGAAUGCCGUGGGGGGAAUCGUUGUUGCUGCACUUAAUAUUGUGGUUGUAGCAUAUUCAAUUGCAGAAGGCUUGUCGCAGUUGGCCACUCUCUAUAUUAAUUAUUCCGAACCACUUUCAUCUGGGUUCAACGAAAGGUUGCCCCAUUUGUCAAUAAAAAUGGUGGUGGCAUCAUGGCAGUGCCCAUCAGCCUCUUCUAGACGUGACCCACAACAGCAAGCUUUCUGGAAUUGCUACAACCACAAUAGCAACUGCUGCAGCAAAGUUCCCUCCACGGCAUUCACUAUAUCAUCAGACUUUGUCUUGCUGUCAUUGAACUUCUCAUUUCCAUUCUCAACUUUUGAAUUCCCCAACGACACUACAAGAACCAGAAAAGCAAGAGAGACCAACAAUAUCCAUAAAGCCAGCUUGUUGAGCAAGACUCAUAAACUUCUCUGCUCAUUAUAAUCGCAGAUGAUUGUGCUCAUGGAUCAUCAUAAGCCACAAGCAUUCUCGCAUAUCCAUUGGCCUCCUUUCCAAGAAAACACAACAGCCUCCCGCAUUGUGUUAGAAAACAAGAAUGUUUUCUGUGAGAAUUUCAGCUUGACGAUAUUGCUGCCCAUUGUCCAAAUCGGCUGAUCGAAACCACCAAUUUCGGACAACAUCAACCCAGAUUUCUGAGUUGACAAUUAGCUGUUUUUUUCUGAAAUAUUUACGGCAGAAUCAGCAAAUGAUUAGAAAGAUAGACAACAAAUAUUCUUCCUCUUUAGCAUCACCCUUCUCUCCGCCCAUGCUCUUCAAUGCCAAACCCAUUGGGAGAAAGUGCAGCACUAGCUACAAGUGCGAGAACGGUGGAUCCUCAAAAGCUUCCCCACAGAGCUGAAGAGGCUCUUUUAGGUGGCUUAUAAAAAGUGUUCCAACCAAAAUUUUCCAGCUUGGCAUCCACCAACAUCUUCAGCAUCAGCAUGGGCUCCAUUUUUCGCAGUGGCAGCCAGAGAUACGCUUUCAAGCACUCCUCCAGAUUUAAUAAGCCAUCUAAGCUUUCAUCCUGUACUAUUUCUUCUGGUUCGCACAGCAUCAUUUAGAAGAGAGAUAGAGAGUACAAGAUGCCAUUGCUGGAUAAAUUUACAAAGGGUGUUUGGCAGAUCUGAGGAAGGACAAUAUGCUCGCGCUCUUUCAUAUCUUUCCGGAUACAAAGAGCAUGAUUUUUCAUUGGCGCAAUCACUGACCAGAAGCAAAAGAGACAAAAGUAUUGCGUGUAGUCAUGUAAUUGGAAAGAAGAAACAAGAAAUGCUAAGAAUUUUGGAGAUGGAGGAGGCUUUGAGAACUGC
rnacentral:lncRNA from 1 species